rnacentral:rRNA from 1 species
GCUCAUAGCAAUAUGGGAGCGGCGAACGGCGUAGUAAGACGUAGGAACGUACCCUCGGGACGGGGAUAGCUAUGGGAAACUGUAGGUAAUACCCGAUAAUCUCUGCGGAGCAAAAGUGUGAUUCCGCCUGAGGAGCGGCUUACGCGAUAUUAGCUAGUUGGUGGGGUAAUGGCCUACCAAGGCGAUGAUGUCUAGGGGGUGUGAGAGCAUGGCCCCCACGACCGGAACUGAGAUACUGUCCGGACACCUACGGGUGGCUGCAGUCGAGAAUCUUCCGCAAUGGACGAAAGUCUGACGGAGCGACGCCGCGUGCGGGAUGAAGGCCCUUGGGUUGUAAACCGCUGUCAGAGGGGAUGAAAUCUUCGGAGGUACUCCUCCGGAGUUGACAGAGCCUCAAAGGAAGCACGGGCUAAGUACGUGCCAGCAGCCGCGGUAACACGUACUGUGCGAACGUUAUUCGGAAUCACUGGGCUUAAAGGGUGCGUAGGCGGCGAUUCAAGUCAGAUGUGAAAUGCCUGAGCUCAACUGAGGCAUUGCGUUUGAAACUGAAUUGCUAGAGUAUUUCAGGGGUGUGCGGAACUGCCAGUGGAACGGUGAAAUGUGUUGAUAUUGGCAGGAACACCGGAGGCGAAAGCGGCACACUGGGGAAUAACUGACGCUGAGGCACGAAAGCCAAGGGAGCGAACGGGAUUAGAUACCCCGGUAGUCUUGGCCGUAAACGAUGAGUACUGGGCGGGAGGGGGUUUCCCUUUUCUGCCGUAGCGAAAGCGUUAAGUACUCCGCCUGGGGAGUAUGGUCGCA